AUACGUAGGGAGCGAGCGUUGUCCGGAAUUACUGGGCGUAAAGGGCGCGUAGGCGGCGCUUCAAGUCGUCUGUCAAAUGGAAGGGCUUAACCCUUUUUCGCAGACGAAACUGGAGAGCUUGAGAAGCAGAGAGGCAAACAGAAUUCCUGGUGUAGCGGUGAAAUGCGUAGAUAUCAGGAAGAAUACCAGUGGCGAAGGCGGUUUGCUGGCUACAUACUAACGCUGAAGCGCGAAAGCCAGGGGAGCGAACGGGAUUAGAUACCCCGGUAGUCCUGGCAGUAAACGAUGUAUGCUGGGUGUGAGACUAGCGAUAGUUUCGUGCCGAAGUUAACGCGAUAAGCAUACCGCCUGGGGAGUACGGUCGCAAGAUUGAAACUCAAAGGAAUUGACGGGG
rnacentral:rRNA from 1 species